rnacentral:piRNA from 2 species
UGAUUCAUGAUCCCUGCCGACAUAUCCU